UACGAAGGGGGCUAGCGUUGCUCGGAAUUACUGGGCGUAAAGCGCACGUAGGCGGGUCUUUAAGUCAGGGGGGAAAUCCUGGAGCUCAACUCCAGAACUGCCUUUGAUACUGAGGAUCUUGAGUUCGGGAGAGGUGAGUGGAACUGCGAGUGUAGAGGUGAAAUUCGUAGAUAUUCGCAAGAACACCAGUGGCGAAGGCGGCUCACUGGCCCGAUACUGACGCUGAGGCACGAAAGCGUGGGGAGCAAACAGG
rnacentral:rRNA from 1 species